rnacentral:rRNA from 1 species
UACGAAGGGGGCUAGCGUUGUUCGGAAUUACUGGGCGUAAGGCGUGCGCAGGCGGCUUCUCAAGUCAGGGGUGAAAGCCCAGAGCUCAACUCUGGAAUUGCCUUUGAGACUGAGUGGCUUGAGUACGAGAGAGGUGAGUGGAAUUCCCAGUGUAGAGGUGAAAUUCGUAGAUAUUGGGAAGAACACCGGUGGCGAAGGCGGCUCACUGGCUCGUAACUGACGCUCAUGCACGACAGCGUGGGGAUCAAACAGG